rnacentral:rRNA from 1 species
GGAAUAUUGGACAAUGGGCGAAAGCCUGAUCCAGCCAUGCCGCGUGUGUGAAGAAGGUCUUCGGAUUGUAAAGCACUUUAAGUUGGGAGGAAGGGCUGCAAGUUAAUACCUUGUAGUUUUGACGUUACCAACAGAAUAAGCACCGGCUAACUUCGUGCCAGCAGCCGCGGUAAUACGAAGGGUGCAAGCGUUAAUCGGAAUUACUGGGCGUAAAGCGCGCGUAGGUGGUUUGGUAAGAUGGAUGUGAAAUCCCCGGGCUCAACCUGGGAACUGCAUCCAUAACUGCCUGACUAGAGUACGGUAGAGGGUGGUGGAAUUUCCUGUGUAGCGGUGAAAUGCGUAGAUAUAGGAAGGAACACCAGUGGCGAAGGCGACCACCUGGACUGAUACUGACACUGAGGUGCGAAAGCGUGGGGAGCAAACA